rnacentral:tRNA from 1 species
AGUAGAAUAAGCUAAUUUAAGCUAUUGGGUUCAUACCCCAAACAUGAGAACCUCUCUUCUACU